rnacentral:sRNA from 1 species
ACUCAACACUAAUAAAUUAAAAAGGGUGAGUUUAAGUUGUUAAAUCGUGCUGAAAAUUUUCAGAUUUUUGAUCAGCUUUGUAGCCCUAAACCUGUUAAAAAGGAGUUU